CUUUAAAAUAAAUAUUUAAAGUUUAGCCUGCCCACUGAGGAGUUAAAUGGCCGCGGUAUUUUGACCGUGCAAAGGUAGCAUAAUCAAUAGUUUUUUAAUUGAAAGCUGGAAUGAAAGGUUGGAUGAGAAAAUAACUGUCUCUAUUAAAUAUCACUAGAAUUUUAUUUUUAAGUAAAAAAGCUUAAAUGAUUUUAAAAGACGAGAAGACCCUAUAGAGUUUUAUAAAUUGAUAUCAGUAAUAUAUUAGUAUUGUGUUGUUGCUUAUAUUUAUUUAUUUGGUUGGGGUGAUUGAAAAAUUUAAUGAACUUUUUUUUAAUUAAAACAUWACYUGAUGAUUAUAUGAUCCAUAAUAAUGVUUAAAAGAUUAAAUUACCUUAGGGAUAACAGCNUAAUUAUUCUUGAGAGUUCAAAUUGAAGGAUUAGAUUGCGACCUCGAUGUUGGAUUAAAAUUAAUUAAUGGUGCAGAAGCUAAA
rnacentral:rRNA from 1 species